ACAAGUAUUAGUAUUUGUAAUAAAUAAAUUAUUACUACAACAUGUAUUUUUGUGUCUUAAAGGGGUUUAAUUUUACUGAAAAUGUAUUGUAUUUAUAUUAAUUUAUAUUAUUGAAAAUAUCUGUCAACUGUCAGUGCAUCAAUAAAUAGGGAUAAUAUGGACAACAGAAUUUCACUUCUUAACCCUCAUAACCAUCGGGCCGACGAUAUAGACUUACAUGUACCUUAAUUGAGAGAAGCAAUUGGUAAUUAAAAACUUGAUUCAACCAAUACAUCUAUAAGAACUAUUCACAACAAUACAAUUAUCCAAGGCCUCUUGUAAUUGAACCCUCUUGAACCCGUCUAUGAUAGUGUUCACAUCAUAGUUCAUGAAUGCAGAAGUUGCAAAGGUACCUAAUUAUUUUUCAUCAGCAAUUAUUUAAAUACUGAUUUGCCAAUUAAUAUUGUUGAGAAACACUCAAGUCUGGUUACUCCAAAAAAUACAAAUACACCACUAAGUCAAAAGUCAAAAGUAAUCAAAUCAUCGUCAUUUGAAUCUGUUCAAGAAAAUUAAACUGAAUUGUUCGAAUAUAGUUUUAAUACUGAUUAUAAUAGCGAGGAUAAUUCUAUAAUUGCCGAGUAUGUCAUUAUUUGUUUUAUUAAAAAUUAUUUGCUUUUUAUAUAAUUAUCAGUGACGGUGCUAGAG